AGAUUGAACGCUGGCGGCAUGCCUUACACAUGCAAGUCGAACGGUAGAGUAGCAAUACUUGAGAGUGGCGAACGGGUGAGUAAUAUAUCGGAACGUGCCCAGUCGUGGGGGAUAACGUAGAGAAAUUUACGCUAAUACCGCAUACGAUCUAAGGAUGAAAGCGGGGGACCGUAAGGCCUCGCGCGAUUGGAGCGGCUGAUAUCAGAUUAGCUUGUUGGUGAGGUAAGAGCUCACCAAGGCGACGAUCCUUAGCUGGUCUGAGAGGAUGAUCAGCCACACUGGGACUGAGACACGGCCCAGACUCCUACGGGAGGCAGCAGUGGGGAAUAUUGGACAAUGGGCGAAAGCCUGAUCCAGCAAUGCCGCGUGAGUGAUGAAGGCCUUAGGUUGUAAAGCUCUUUUACCCGGAUGAUAAUGACAGUACCGGAGAAUAAGCUCCGCUAACUCCGUGCCAGCAGCCGC
rnacentral:rRNA from 1 species